ensembl:piRNA 21ur-1384 ncRNA
UUCUUAUGCGUUACUCGAAAG